GGCUCUAAUGCUCCUCCCAUCGGCUAUCUGCACAACCACGUCCUGUUCGUUCAUCUGCAUGACUGCAUUCACGGAAGCCGGCCAAACAACUACUAGUGACCUACAAGGAAAACAACGCUACUCCUGUUCGACGCCACGGCGGCCGACUCGCCGAGACCCCAGGCCACUGCUCACCUCCGACCACGGAAGCGACGAGGCUCUCAUAAUCAGGGUAGUGCAGGCAUAUUUUACCAAAAUUAGUAUGACACCACACACCAAACUUCUCUCCUCUUGAGUCAGGAUCACACAUACAAAUGGCUGACCAAGAUUUCCUCUGUACAAUGUCUGACCAAGAUUUUCUCUGUACUUGAAUCUGGCUAAUCUUUAUCAUUGCAAAAGUUUGGUCACCUUCAGCUACAAAGAUGAGAGAUGCCAUAUCAAUAUCAAUUUUAUUGUUUUCCUCGCUAAGCCAACUAUGCGCUGAUUUUUCUAAAAGAAGUAAGGCAGAUCAUGAUGCUUAAGUUUCUACCAUAAAACACCCAGGUGCUAAUUCUCUCUUCCCUUACUUUCUUUUAUUGAUGCCUCGAGCACUGUUUUUGUGACAAAGUACCUGCAAUAGUGCAUAUUAAGACUAUUUUAUUCAAGUUAAAUAUGUCAUGAAUUCCAAAUCUACCUUUACUAACCUUUAUAUCCCCUAUUUUUUGUUCACAAUUCAGGACACAUGUGAUGUGAUUUGACCACUAACAUACUAUGGUUCUCAGAAAUUAUCAUGGUACUUUAUUCUUUGCUUCAUUAAGCUAUUGCUUCUCUAAAUUUGGUCAUCAAAUCCCCGCAGCAACGUGUGGGGAAUGCACCUAGUAAAUCCAGUAGGAGAACCAAGUGAUACGUCUCCAACAUAUAUAUAAUUUUUUAUUGUUCCAUGUUGUUAUAUUAUCAUUCUUGGAUGUUUUACAUUCAUUUUAUAGCAAAUUUAUAU